AACGAACGCUGGCGGCAUGCCUAACACAUGCAAGUCGAACGAAGGCUUCGGCCUUAGUGGCGCACGGGUGCGUAACGCGUGGGAAUCUGCCCCUUGGUUCGGAAUAACAGUUGGAAACGACUGCUAAUACCGGAUGAUGACGUUAAGUCCAAAGAUUUAUCGCCGAGGGAUGAGCCCGCGUAGGAUUAGCUAGUUGGUGUGGUAAGAGCGCACCAAGGCAACGAUCCUUAGCUGGUCUGAGAGGAUGAUCAGCCACACUGGGACUGAGACACGGCCCAGACUCCUACGGGAGGCAGCAGUGGGGAAUAUUGGACAAUGGGCGAAAGCCUGAUCCAGCAAUGCCGCGUGAGUGAUGAAGGCCUUAGGGUUGUAAAGCUCUUUUACCCGGGAUGAUAAUGACAGUACCGGGAGAAUAAGCUCCGGCUAACUCCGUGCCAGCCGCCGCCGUAA
rnacentral:rRNA from 1 species